UACGAAGGGUGCAAGCGUUACUCGGAAUUACUGGGCGUAAAGCGUGCGUAGGCGGUUUGUUAAGUCCGUUGUGAAAGCCCUGGGCUCAACCUGGGAAUUGCAGUGGAUACUGGCGAGCUAGAGUGCGGUAGAGGAUGGUGGAAUUCCCGGUGUAGCGGUGAAAUGCGUAGAGAUCGGGAGGAACACCCGUGGCGAAGGCGGCCAUCUGGACCAGCACUGACGCUGAGGCACGGAAAGCGUGGGGAGCAAACAGGG
rnacentral:rRNA from 1 species